AAGUGAACAUUGUCCAUCUCUGUCACUACUGUUCAACCAAUUUGACACGGUGGAGGAGCAGGACAGUUCAUUAAUUUCAUUUUAUAAAAUGAACAGUGCUAACUGGUCAGCUCCAUUUAAAUGUAGAUUGGCAGGAGAUGCAGCUGUUGGCAAAGGAGUCAAUCGUCAUAUUUUGUCAAUGAUGCUGCAAAAAUUGAAGACUGGCUUCGCUUUAAAUUUGGGGUCUUCUACCACAGCCCUUUUUAAGGGGGAAAAAAAACACCGUGUCCCCUCAGCAUGUGCUGUACUACGGGACAGCAACCUGUUUCAGAUGGCUGGCCGAAUGAUUGGUCAUUCCUUUUUACAUGGAGGUCCUUGUCUUUCUGGACUGAGUUUACCUGUUAUCAUCCUUCUGACUGGAGGAGAUACUGACAGUGCGGCUUCAGCUCUGACACUGCAGGACUGCCCAGACAUAGACCACAGGGAAACUAUUAGUUUGCUCAAGAAAACAGAACUCACUAAAAAAGAAAUGACUCGAUUGACCGAUCUUUGCCUUUUCUGGGAUCUUCCUGUUCCAUCGUCGAGUAAUCAGGACUGGCUGUUUCAACAGCUAUUGUCUCAUGCUGUACUUGGACGUGUCAAGUGCCAGAUUAAAGAUUUGAGAAAAGGCAUCAAAGAUGCCGGCAUCUGGCCCCUUCUCUCCCAGAGACUCGACAGUCACCACAUUGUUUUCCCAAGGGAGUCAGUUAGGGACAUUACAUCACAAGAAAUUCUUCAGAAAAUCGUGUGGAUGAUGAAGACAAUGAUGAUGACAUGACUGUUGAGAGAAUGAGUGUCAUCACAGGAUAUAUGCGAAGCUUUAUUGAGGAAGCAUCACCAACCAUGCUGAAUCACUUAAUGAAGUUCUGGGUGGAAUGGGAGUUGGCAGAAGAAAACCUGGUGUUAGAGUUGGUGACUGCCAAGUUCCCUAUUGCACAAACAUGUUUCAACACAUUGCGCCUUCCCUGUCACUACCAUAGCUACCCUGCAUUCAGAGCAGAUAUGCUAAUGUGUCUGAAGUCUAUAAACAGUGGAUUUGACCUGGUUUAAAUAAAUUGC